rnacentral:rRNA from 1 species
UACGUAGGGGGCGAGCGUUGUCCGGAUUUAUUGGGCGUAAAGCGCGUGUAGGCGGCUAAGUAGGUCCGCUGUGAAAACUCGAGGCUUAACCUCGAGCUGUCGGUGGAAACCAUUUGGCUAGAGUCCGGAAGAGGAGAGCGGAAUUCCUGGUGUAGCGGUGAAAUGCGCAGAUAUCAGGAAGAACACCCGUGGCUAAGGCGGUUCUCUAGUACGGUACUGACGCUGAGACGCGAAAGCGUGGGGAGCGAACAGG